CGGCGCCCCCGCUCCAAUCUGGGACCCCGAGCCAGGCCUGUCCCAAGUCCUCCCGGGCCCGCCAGCCCGCGGCCCCUUACCUUGGCCUGGCAUUUCCGAUGACAGGAGAAGCUGCAGACUGCAAGAGGGCGAGACACAGAAAGAAAGUUUUAGCCGCGAGGCUGGAGUGCAAUGGCGCAAUCUCGGCUCACCACAACCUCCGCCUCCCAGGUUCAAGCAAUUCUCCUGCCUCAGCCUCCCAAGUAGCUGGGAUUACAGGCACGCACCACCAUGCCCGGGUAAGGGGCUGGCUCUCAGCACCAGGACCUGGCACAGCAUCUGACCCAGAGGACAGCUCAGUUCAUGAUUGCCAGAUGGCUGCACGCAGCGCGGAGGAGAGCCCCCUGGGUCUGAAAUAGAGGCUGGAGAGGAGGACUGUGAGUCCAGAGGAGGGAGAGUGAUGGUAUCCCACACACAAGCCAGCGUGUCUAGGACUCCUAUCUGAAGACACUGCAGAGCACCUCCCCACAUUAUACUUAGAAAUUACAAAGAAGAAGAAAGUAACUUUUCCUGGCUUCCUCCACUUUAAUCAAGUGAUCAAAGUUAACAUCACUGCAACGGUAAUGGGAUGAUGAAGCCAAGCUGGGAGCAGGGGUGCACUGAGAACAGACGCCGCUUCUGCGGUAUCCCUGCCAGAAAGCCUCAACCUGAACCUAAUCAUGAGGAAACAUCAGGCCAACCCAAACUAAGGGACAACCUACACAUUAAACGUCUUGGAAUCUCCGAAAGUGACAAGGUCAUGAAAAUCAAGGAAAGGCUGAGGAGCUUUCCAGACUGAAGGCAGCAAAAAGACUUGGCAACCGAAAGUAACGGCGGCUUCUGAACCAGAUUCUGUUGAUGCCCACAAGGACAUCACUGGGACCACUGGCGGGACUUCCCUGGGUCUAGACUGAAUGGUAUUAAAGUAUCCAUGUCAAUUUCCUGAUUUUGAUAGCGGGGCUGGUCAGGUAAGAGAGUCCUUGUAGAAAAAUCAGGAAAGU
rnacentral:lncRNA from 10 species